CUGCGGUUCUGCAGCUGGAUAUAUCUCGUUGAGUCUGCAGCCAGACAGUUGCAGUCAGCUAUAUUAUCGGAUAAAGAAAAAUGCUUUUUGAAACAUUGGUAUUAGUGUACUUUUUGGGACUUGGAUUUGCAGUAGUGCAUAGAAGCCAAGGUUCCCUCUACACGAAAUACGAAGUGGGUGAUUCAGCUACUCUCUAUUGCAACGUUAGCACAGAUGAAGAAGUCGUAAACAGCUGCACAUUUUUGUGGGAAAUUACCGACGAACUUAAGAAUGACUUCAUAGAUAUCACAACCACGCCGAAAUAUCACAACAGAGUCAGUGUGGCAUCCCAAGACCUUUCAAGCAUGAUGACCAUACGAGAUCUGGCGGACACCGACACAGACGAGAUAAUGUGCACACCAUUGUGUUAUAUUUAUGAUGAUCUUCGUUACAUCUUGGGUAACGGGACAACUCUAAAAAUAACAGAACAAGAAAAGAAAAUAAAGGAACAAGAAAAUUUGGGAUUUCCAUGGCUGAAGUACCUCAUAUUCUCACUCAAUUGUAUAAUUUUCAGCAUUUCAAUGGUAAUCUGUAUCUAUAUUAUUCGAAAACGGCGUUUUGGGAAAUGUGCCCAAAACGAAUAAUAAUGCACUUUUAAACAAUUCUCAUGCCUAAAUCUAAAUGGUUAGGCGUUAAUUUCAUUCAACUAAAAUUGACGAGAUCAAAUGAUUUCGAAAGUGAAAGCAUUUUAAACUAAACAAAGGUGGGGUUAUUUUUUUUUCUAAAUGUUGACGAGGUUUAUUAAUUCGAUUAACAUUUAGCAAUAAAGCAGUCAAACUCAAACUAUCACAAAGGUGUUUAGUUUAGGCUAUUUUGCUUUGCUGUUUAUUUUGACGCAGUUUAUUGUUUCGAUUUAGAUUUACCAGUUAUGCACUAUAUGCUAUAAUCAACUGAUUUUUAAACACCUUGUCUUCGUAAGGAAGUAGGCCUAUAUAAAUGUAAUGUAAUAUCGUGUCAAAAUAUUUUCUUAAAAAAGUCAUAGCUGAAAUAAUCCGUUUCCAGCCAUUUUAAGUCAAAAUGUAACAAGCUCUCUUUAAAUAUAGCUUUGCCAUAUACAGUAUAUAAAAUGUUUUUAAAUCUGUAAUACUUAAUAUUUACGUAUGUACGACAAUUUUUAUUUAAAAAAAAAUUGGAUUAAAGGUCAGAAAAAACAAGUCUUGAGCCAGAAAAACAACUUACC